rnacentral:rRNA from 1 species
AUGGCGAUGGACAUGGUGGCCGGCCUGGGAAAGCAGCGCGGCGUCAGCCACUCGGUCUCGUUCCUCCUCGGGGCCCUUCUCCCCACCCUCAUGCUCUUCUUCCUCGCCUCCGAUCGGGACUUCCAGUUAGGGAAUGGAUCUACUCACCAGCUGACUACUAGCAAUGCGACUAACCUCCCAGGUGACGGCUCGGACGGCGAGAAGGAGGAAGCAUUCCCGGGACUCGCUGAGCUGCUGCCAAAGGUUGCCAUGGACGACGGGACGGUGAUCAUCACGUCGGUGAACGAGGCGUGGGCGCGCCCAGGCUCCCUCCUCGACCUCUUCCUCGGUAGCUUCCGCGACGGCGAGGGUAUCGCGCACCUCCUCAACCACACCCUCAUCGUCGCCGCCGACCCCGGCGCCUUGGCACUUUGCCAGGCCGUGCACCCGCACUGCUACCACCAUGAGGUCACCUCCGCCAAAGUUACCUCCGCUAACCGCUUCAUGACCAAGAGCUAUCUCGAGCUCAUCUGGGCCAGGCUCGAGGUCCCACAACGUAUCCUCCAGCUUGGCUACAACUAUCUCUCCACCGAUGUGGAUGCCAUGUGGUUGCGCAACCCGUUCCGGCACAUCAGCCUUUACGCCGAUGUGGCCAUGUCGACUGAUCACUUCAAUGGCAAUGCCGAGGACCUACAAAAUGUGGGAAACAGCGCUUCUACUACAUUAGGUCGACAAACCGGACGGUGGAGAUGCUAA